GAUGAACGCUAGCGGGAGGCUUAACACAUGCAAGUCGAGGGGCAGCAUAGGGUAGCAAUACUCUGAUGGCGACCGGCAAACGGGUGAGUAACGCGUAUGCAACCUACCCUGUACAGGGGGAUAACCCGGAGAAAUUCGGACUAAUAUCCCGUAAUAAUAUCCGGAGGCAUCUUUGGAUAUUUAAAGUUUCGACGGUACGGGAUGGGCAUGCGUAACAUUAGCUGGUUGGUAAGGUAACGGCUUACCAAGGCUAUGAUGUUUAGGGGUCCUGAGAGGGUGGUCCCCCACACUGGUACUGAGACACGGACCAGACUCCUACGGGAGGCAGCAGUGAGGAAUAUUGGUCAAUGGGCGCAAGCCUGAACCAGCCAUCCCGCGUGCAGGAAGACGGCCCUAUGGGUUGUAAACUGCUUUUCCAGGGAGAGAAACUUACGCACGUGUUGCGUGACUGACGGUACCCUGGGAAUAAGCAUCGGCUAACUCCGUGCCAGCAGCCGCGGUAAGCUCGUCUCUAC
rnacentral:rRNA from 1 species